AAGAGGGGAGGAGGGUUAUGUGAGAGGGAAGAAGGGGGAGAUAUGCAAGCGAUCGGCCGGUCUACUCAGUUCUCGUUCGUUUGCCAGCCAGUCGUCCCCACACGAUAGAAGUGGUUGACAGUUCUCAGCAUCGUCAAAGACACGUCGUCGACAUUUGUCAUACGAGGAGGCCAGCUGUGCACGUGCACACGCAACUCAUAUUGUCUGUGCUUCGCGACGAGACGUUCGAGGAACCGAGAGGGUUGGCCGCCGGAUGAGAUCGAGACGGUUUUAAAGGCUCACUUCCAAGCUCCGAACGUGAAUUAGUUCUAAUACCGAGUACGAGUACAAUCAUGGUUUUUGCUGGAGGUGUUGUUGUUGUUAAUUGGGGAGAUUGGGACUUUGUGAAGUUAUUAUCGAAGCAGAUCUAUCGAUAAAGAAGAGAGAGAGAGAGAGAGAGAGAGAGAGAGAAAGAAAUAAGAUUUAUAAUCUAUAAUCAAUAAGAGACACGUACGGCACAUUCUUACGAAAAAACCAUGGAGGAUAAAAUAAAGUGAAUAUGAAGGAAUUUAUAGACGUGUGUAAAAGUGUCUAAUGUGUUCGAUAAAAGGAAGGAAGGAAGGAAGGAAGGAAGGAAGGAAGAAACAACAACAACCGUUUAUGGAAUAUCUACGCGUGCGGGCUGCGAUAACAGAGGUAAUGAAUUUAGUAAUAGGGAUUGUAAUGGGUAACAGUAAGAGUAACAAAACGGAAAGAAAAAUAGGUAGAGAGAAAGAAAAAGAAAAAGACAAAAAGAGAUAGAGAUAGAUAAAUAUUUUUAAUAGUAGGUAAAUGUUGUUAAUAGUCUAGCAUCCUGUCGAAUCGAACAUGUUGCUUGAUUUUGUCCACCGUGUCGUUGGUAACAGUUAACAGUACCAGCAAAAAGGACAAACAAAAAAGAACAAAUGAGGAGAGAGAGAGUGAGAGAGAGAAAGAGAGAGAAGGAAAGAGUGAUUGAAAAGAAAAAAGUGUGGUUGAGGAUCAUCGGCAUCGAAGAUGUAAAGGAAAGGAAACGAAGAAAAAGAAGAAGAAGAAGAAGAAGAAGAAGAAGUAGAAGUAAAAGGUAAAGAAGAAGAAGAAGAAGAAGAAGAAGAGUAGUGAGGAGCGGUGAAGGAAGUGACGAGGAAGAAGUAAAAGAAAAGAUCCAAGAGAAGGAUGAGGAUGAUGAGGAGGAGGACGAGGAAGAGGAGAA